AUCAAUUCUCUGCCUUUUGGCUAAGAUCAAGUAUAGUACUUGUACUUAUCAGUUUAAAGAAUUAUUGCCAAUCCUUCUCAAGCUCUUCCAAAACAUUAAAAAGGAGGAGGGAACACUCCCAAACUACUUAUGAGGCUAGAAUUAUCCUGAUACCAAAGCCAGAUAAGGAUAGUACUAAAACAUGAAAACCACA
rfam:Pteropus alecto contig22269, whole genome shotgun sequence.